rnacentral:lncRNA from 1 species
CUUACAUAGUCAAAGCUCGAAACUCAGGUCGUAUCUCAGUCACUAACCUCUCCAGCCUCUCGGGCUCACAAAAAUCAUAAUAUCCAGGACAAACAGAGAAUACAACAAGUAUUUACAAGUAAUGAGAGAGAAUAGAGUUAUAAUACACAAGUAAGACGGUGACUGAGUACAAAACAUCAAUUAGCAGUCAAUUCAACAAGUAUACAACAAUUGUGGGUCCCAAUAGUGAUAUCAUACGGUCUAAGCAUGGCUUCUAACAUGAAAGGCAUUCAAUUCUCAAAGACAAGGAAACACAUGUAGGGACGGACCAAGUCUCAAUCCCUCACUGUGCACGCUCACAUGUCCGUCAGGUAGCAGGUGCAUCACCUCCAAAUGUUCAUAUCAUACCAAUUCCCGGGGUUCCAUACCCUCAAAACCAGAUUUAAGAGUGUUAGUUUCCUCAACCGCGCAGAAAUCCUACUCCAAAAUGCCCUUACCUCUCGAAUCAGCCUCUAACUGUUGAGCCUUGCUUCAUGUGCUAGUAGAGGAAUCAAGCCAUCGCCCAGAUAUGGGGCCCUUGUUGGUGGUCUAUCCAACAUAGUCAAAUGAUCCAAAAUCUACUCCAAGGUGCCUUGAAUGCCCAAUUGCGUCCAUUGUAAGAUUUGUUGCUCAGUAGUGUGCUCCGUUAACACCUCCUCGUGGUGAGUGAUCUUCGUGUCCAUGAUCUGUAUCCUCGUACCUUCAACCAUUAAUGAUUCAUAGGUCGCAGCUAUGAAGGAUAUGGUAAAUGGCAAGAACUGACUUGUAAUUUGAAUUCUCAAUCAAACAAAUAAUAGAAUGAGUGUUUGGGACAAUUUUCUAUAAUUUUCAUUACAAAAAUGAACUAACUAAUAAACUGGAAUUAAGAUAAGCUAUAAUGUUUCAUUGCAUGGCUAACAUCUACAAA